rnacentral:rRNA from 1 species
CAAUAGCGUAUAUUAAAGUUGUUGCAGUUAAAACGCUCGUAGUCGGAUUUCGGGGCGGGGCCGCCGGUCUGCCGAUGGGUAUGCACUGGCGGGCGCGUCCUUCCUUCCGGAGACUGGCCCUACUCUUAACUGAGCGGGGUCGGGAAUCGGAUCGUUUACUUUGAAAAAAUCAGAGUGUUUCAAGCAGGCAAUUUGUUCUUGCAUGGAUUAGCAUGGGAUAAUGAAAUAGGACUUUGGUGCUAUUUUGUUGGUUUCGAACACCGAAGUAAUGAUUAACAGGGACAGUCAGGGGCACUCGUAUUCCGCCGAGAGAGGUGAAAUUCUCAGACCAGCGGAAGACGAACUACUGCGAAAGCAUUUGCCAGGGAUGUUUUCACUG